rnacentral:rRNA from 1 species
CAGUCGCCGCGGUAAUACGGAGGGUGCAAGCGUUAAUCGGAAUUACUGGGCGUAAAGCGCACGCAGGCGGUUUGUUAAGUCAGAUGUGAAAUCCCCGAGCUUAACUUGGGAACUGCAUUUGAAACUGGCAAGCUAGAGUCUUAUAGAGGGGGGUAGAAUUCCAGGUGUAGCGGUGAAAUGCGUAGAGAUCUGGAGGAAUACCGGUGGCGAAGGCGGCCCCCUGGACAAAGACUGACGCUCAGGUGCGAAAGCGUGGGGAGCAAACAGGAUUAGAUACCCGUGUAGUCCCUGUCUCUUAUAC